rnacentral:rRNA from 1 species
CCUACGGGAGGCAGCAGUGGGGAAUUUUGGACAAUGGGGGCAACCCUGAUCCAGCCAUUCCGCGUGAGUGAAGAAGGCCUUCGGGUUGUAAAGCUCUUUCAGCAGGAACGAAACGGUGGCCAAUAAUACUGGCUACUAAUGACGGUACCUGAAGAAGAAGCACCGGCUAACUACGUGCCAGCAGCCGCGGUAAU